CAGCAUCGUCGUACUGCUAGCUACGUCGUACGUCGGAUCGAGUGCAAGUCGAACGAGUUCUGAUUAUUGAAAGGUGCUUGCAUCUUGAUUUAAUUUUGAACGAGUGGCGGACGGGUGAGUAACACGUGGGUAACCUGCCUUAAGUGGGGGAUAACAUUUGGAAACAGAUGCUAAUACCGCAUAAAUCCAAGAACCGCAUGGUUCUUGGCUGAAAGAUGGCGUAAGCUAUCGCUUUUGGAUGGACCCGCGGCGUAUUAGCUAGUUGCGACGGCUAGCUAUCGAUACCAAGGCAAUGAUACGUAGCCGAACUGAGAGGUUGAUCGGCCACAUUGGGACUGAGACACGGCCACUCCUACGGGAGGCAGCAGUAGGGAAUCUUCCACAAUGGACGCAAGUCUGAUGGAGCAACGCCGCGUGAGUGAAGAAGGCUUUCGGGUCGUAAAACUCUGUUGUUGGAGAAGAAUGGUCGGCAGAGUAACUGUUGUCGGCGUGACGGUAUCCAACCAGAAAGCCACGGCUAACUACGUGCCAGCAGGGUAAUACGUAGGUGGCAGCGUUAUCCGGAUUUAUUGGGCGUAAAGCGAGCGCAGGCGGUUUUUUAAGUCUGAUGUGAAAGCCCUCGGCUUAACCGAGAGUGCAUCGGAAACUGGGAAACUUGAGUGCAGAAGAGGACAGUGGAACUCCAUGUGUAGCGGUGAAAUGCGUAGAUAUAUGGAAGAACACCAGUGGCGAAGGCGGCGUCUGGUCUGUAACUGACGCUGAGGCUCGAAGCAUGGGUAGCGAACAGGAUUAGAUACCCUGGUAGUCCAUGCCGUAAACGAUGAAUGCUAGGUGUUGGAGGGUUUCCGCCCUUCAGUGCCGCAGCUAACGCAUUAAGCAUUCCGCCUGGGGAGUACGACCGCAAGGUUGAAACUCAAAGGAAUUGACGGGGGCCGCACAAGCGGUGGAGCAUGUGCACGUUGCUACGUAGCUAGCAGAGAACCUUACCAGGUCUUGACAUCUUUUGAUCACCUGAGAGAUCAGGUCCCUUCGGGGGCAAAAUGACAGGUGGUGCAUGGUUGUCGUCAGCUCGUGUCGUGAGAUGUUGGGUUAAGUCCCGCAACGAGCGCAACCCUUAUGACUAGUUGCCAGCAUUUAGUUGGGCACUCUAGUAAGACUGCCGGUGACAAACCGGAGGAAGGUGGGGAUGACGUCAAAUCAUCAUGCCCCUUAUGACCGAUCGUACGUCUACGUUGACAAUGGAUGGUACAACGAGUUGCGAGACCGCGGCUACUGAUCGUCGUGCAUCGAGCCAUUCUCAGUUCGGGCUACUGUCAGCUAGCUACUAACACGAAGUCGGAAUCGCUAGUAAUCGCGGAUCAGCACGCCGCGGUGAAUACGUUCCCGGGCUGUACACACCGCCCGUCACACCAUGAGAGUUUGUAA
rnacentral:rRNA from 1 species